rnacentral:rRNA from 1 species
UAAAGAAUCUUCCGCAAUGGGCGCAAGCCUGACGGAGCAACACUGCGUGGAGGAUGAAGGCUUUCGGGUCGUAAACUCCUUUUCUGGGGGAAGAAGUUCUGACGGUACCCCAGGAAUAAGCGACGGCAAACUACGUGCCAGCAGCCGCGGUAAUACGUAGGUCGCGAGCGUUAUCCGGAAUCAUUGGGCGUAAAGCGUCCGUAUGCGGUUUUGUAAAUCCGUGGUUAAAUCCCAGGGCUCAACCCUGGAAUCGUCAUGGAAACUGCAAGACUUGAGGUGUGCAGAGGCAGAUGGAAUUUCGGAAGUAGGGGUAAAAUCCGUAGAUCUCCGAAGGAACACCAAACGCGAAGGCAUUCUGCUGGGCACAAUCUGACGCUGAGGGACGAAAGCGUGGGGAGCAAACAGGAUUAGAUACCCCGGUAGUCC